rnacentral:piRNA from 1 species
UACUAGGCAAGGGAUCAGUGUUGAGCCG